rnacentral:rRNA from 1 species
UCCUACGGGGGGCAGCAGUGGGGGAUAUUGCACAAUGGGGGGAACCCUGAUGCAGCGACGCCGCGUGGGUGAAGGAGCGUUUCCGCGCGUAAAGCCCUAUCGGCAGGGAAGAAGAUGACGGUACCUGACCAAGAAGCCCCGGCUAACUACGUGCCCGCAGCCGCGGUAAUACGUAGGGGGCAAGCGUUAUCCGGAUUUACUGGGUGUAAAGGGAGCGUAGACGGCUGUGCAAGUCUGAAGUGAAAGCCCAGGG